rnacentral:rRNA from 1 species
UACGAAGGGGGCUAGCGUUGCUCGGAAUCACUGGGCGUAAAGGGUGCGUAGGCGGGUCUUUAAGUCAGGGGUGAAAUCCUGGAGCUCAACUCCAGAACUGCCUUGAUACUGAAGAUCUUGAGUUCGGGAGAGGUGAGUGGAACUGCGAGUGUAGAGGUGAAAUUCGUAGAUAUUCGCAAGAACACCAGUGGCGAAGGCGGCUCACUGGCCCGAUACUGACGCUGAGGCACGAAAGCGUGGGGAGCAACAGGAG